GAGGACAGUACGGCUCUUUAUCUGGUAGACUUGUGCAAACGCCCCAAGCUGCCUGGUAAAGAGCUGUCUCGUCGCAA
rnacentral:pre_miRNA from 1 species